UACGUAGGGUGCGAGCGUUGUCCGGAAGUAUUGGGCGUAAAGAGCUCGUAGGCGGUGUGUCGCGUCGGCCGUGAAAACCUGCAGCUUAACUGUGGGCGUGCGGUCGAUACGGGCAUCACUGGAGUUCGGCAGGGGAGACUGGAAUUCCUGGUGUAGCGGUGAAAUGCGCAGAUAUCAGGAGGAACACCGGUGGCGAAGGCGGGUCUCUGGGCCGAUACUGACGCUGAGGAGCGAAAGCGUGGGGAGCGAACAGG
rnacentral:rRNA from 1 species